CCUGCCUCGGAGGGAGAACGGUCCGUCGAGGGAAGGGGCUCCAAUUUUCCCAAUGAGCUUACAAGGCUUUACUGAAUGGUAAACUGAAACUUUCCACUAAAAUGCAAUUUUAUACGCGGAGACAAAACGUAACCACCCAAGCGAAAUUCCACACCGCUAAGCAGAUGGGCGGCUCUCCCGGGAGAGACCGGCCGCCCCUGCGCCAUCCGAGACCGGCGAGAUAAGGAGGACGAAAUUGCCGUACAUCACUUGGACCGGCUCAUUACAACGCCGUACACACAUCCCGCCUCAAAGGUUACAGGGAUAUCGGCGCUUCGGCGGCCCGGCAGCGAAACCCAGACCACACCGCUAGACCCGAGGUCGCCGCGGAGUUCGGUUUCUAUGUCGUCGUUAGGGACGGUCGGACACGGAUAGGAUCCGGAGCCUCGGAAUCGCCGGUCGCCUUAAAUGAGUCGCUUUUAGUCCGAA